rnacentral:lncRNA from 1 species
CACAGAACAUUUACGAAAGAGGACAAUGAACUAAACGUGACGAAUUAAACACCUUAAGCGUGGGGAUUUAGUCGGAAGCCCAACUUGCAGGACACACAGGAGGGUCAGCCCAGAUUCGACGAGGUCUCUGCUGACAUCUGGGAAAGCGUCCGACAGGAGAGAGGAGAGAGCAGGGUGUGUUGCCCACGUCAUCCGGGGACUAACGGUGGAGCGAUAACGAUGACCAGGCCGUCAUUCAGGGGCUUCUUCAGGCUGCCUUUUUCCGGUUGAGGUCCUGAGAUCUGGCCGCAGCCCCACGAGGGAGGGGAGGCCACAGGGAGACCAAGCCCCUCCCUCCCCCUGCCGCCAACGUGGCUCUUGUUCAAAAAUCUCUUUCCCACCCUGCAACUGUACAGGCGAUGUCUGAACCCAGGGCUCCGGUGUAUCAGACAGAUGGGAAAGCCUUGACUCAAACGGAUGUGGGGGUUAUUACAGGAAGGACUGCUGGGCCGUCGGCAGUUAGCGCAAACGACACCAUCACUCUUCUCUGAGACAAGGCCGUUACGGCUGCGGUGCUGGACCACCACGCGGAUACGGGCGCCGAUGUCCUAGGAAUACUGAAACAAUGCCAAGUAGAUAUGAAUUAUAAAUAUUAGAAACACUUUAGUGUCACGUCUAUUUCACUAGUUUGUGCUUACUUGAAAAUGGGGGAUUCACAACUGGAAUAUUCAAGUGAUGAGAGAGUAUCCGUCUACACUAUUUCAAGAUAAAGAGAAUUUAUCGGCUUUGACUCACUCAUUCCUGUUUUCUUAAAGACACUCUUCCAAUCAUUCUUAUUCUUUUUUCCCUCGUUUUAAUUUGCUUCUCCACAUCAUGUUUCUUCCUGCUUAUUUCAACACAGUGUCUCUAACUACCAAGUAGCUUGCUAGAAACAGCAGAACUUACUGCUAAAUAUCACAUUAAAAAAAGGUCUUCUGGGGAACUCCCUUUGCGGCUCAGUGGUUAACCAACCUGACUAGGGUCCAUGAGGAUGCAGUUUUGAUCCCUGGCCUCGCUCAGUGGGUUAAGGAUCCAACGUUGCUGUGAGCUGCGUAUAAUAACUAAAGCACCUUUUCUAGAAGCAACACCCACUUUUCUUUUCUUUUGAACCCUUUCUUCUUUAUUAUGUACAUAGUCUAGGUUUGGGGCUGGAGAUUAUUAUGAGAAAACAACUAAGCCUCCCUAGAUCCACGACACACACGGAAAGAAUGACUGCAAACAUGUUAAAUAAUACAUUUCAGUCUUUGAAUGGAUAAAAAAAUCUGAUUUUAAUUUCCCCAAUUUACUGUUUCAAUUAAACUGUGGUGGCAGAGUGAGGGGCAGGAAAUUUAUGUGAACUUCCUGAAUUCUGAAGGUAUUAGCUGCCCAUCACCUGCAAGCAAAAACCAAGGACAUAAUUCAGAUAAAAUCCAAUGCGACUUGCAUGGAAAAGGGCUGCGGUUUUGAAACAAACAGGCAAACACCCGUCCCAUGAAGACUUGCCCGACUCUUCGCAGGGAGCCGUGGGGCAGACCUCUGUCGACAUUUCCCAAACUGCUAAACAAGCCACAUGCGUCCCUCGAUCCAAAUGAACCAGUUCCCCAUAAACGCACUCCGAGGAUCCAGCCCCCGCAGAGCCUGGCUGAAGCUACCUUGGGAAUCUUCUCAGCCCCACCCCUGCUUCCUCAAGUCUUUACCUCUGUGACGCAAAUUCUGAGCAAAAGCGGGAGGUGGGGAGAGUGGAGACACCCCUCUUCUGUAAGGGUAAAGGCAUCCGAAGCUUUGCGUUUUAACAGAAUAACCAGUUCUCUGGGUCUGAAACCCUGGACUCCUGGUGAGGCUGGUGCUGUGAAGCUCGUGGGAGAGGCGGGGAAGCGUUUCCGUGCUCAUCCCGCACCACUGGUUUUCUCUGAGCACCCACGAGCCCCAGGACCUGCUACGGGGAGCCUAAACCUUAAACACAAUGCAUAACUCGUAAGCAAAUCCCUUUGUAAUUUUUUAAGACAGAAAAUGUCUUUGGGACGGCAUUUUCCUGGCCAUCUGGUCUCUGCGUUAUUUUGGGUCUAAUAAACAUCAUAGUGAUUAAAGGCAUAAGCUUUGGAGGCAAAGAGAAUCAAGUUUGAUUUUUUUUUGGUCUUUUUUUAGGGCUGCACCCACGGCAUACGGAGGUUCCCAGGCUAGGAGUUGAAUCAGAGCUGCAGCUGCCGGUCUACACCACGGCCACAGCAAUGCAGGAUCCGAGCUGUGUCUGCAACCUACACCACAGCUCACAGCAACACUGGAUCCUUAACCCACUGAGCGAGGCCGGGGAUCGAAUCCUCGUCCUCAUGGAUCCUAGUCGGGUUUGUUACUGCUGAGCCACCAUUGGAACUCCCCAACUUUGACUCUUGAGUCCCCUUAAUUACUAUCAACAUGACCACAGUCAAGCUAUCUAACCCUUUAGUAGAGUUUCCUCAUCUAUGAAAAGGGUGUAACUGUACUUAUUUUUAGGGCUGUACUCUACUGGGGUUCUAAUAGACUUAGAUAGUGUGUCAGGAUGGUUUUAUUUGCAUAAGGGAAAACUCAAAUCAAACUGGCUUAAACAAUAAGAGGAAAGUGAUUGGGUCACAUAACUAAAAUGUUCCAUGGUAAUGAGGACAUCAGGUAUGGGCUGAUCAGGACUCCAACCUCAUUUCUCUAUGGUUUUCUUGGCUCUGCCCUCCUCUAUGUGUUGGUUCCUCUGUAGGCUGGAUAGCCCCAUGGUCACAGAAAGCUGCCGGGAUCCAUGCCUCCUGGUUCCCCCAGAGUCAAUGAACAAAGGCCCCAAGUUACAUCCCAUUGUGACUGUCCUGGACCACACACUCAACUCUGAGCUAGUCACUGGGGCCAGGAAAAUGCCACAGGCAGGGUGCACACAGGUACACACACACAUGUGCAGGUGCAUACAGUUAAAAACGCAUGGACAUAUAAACUUAUAUUUAUAGAGAUCUGAUCAUUUUAUUUUAAUUUCCGGGUUGUCAAAGUAAAUACUUCAUCUUUGCUGAGAAAGAAAAUUGGUGUGAUUUAGUUUGCAAAGGGCUCAAGCCUCUUUACCUUAAAACCUAUAAAAUACAAAGACUUGUUGGCUGGAAAAAUGAGAGUCAUUUUAAUUCUGGUUUUGUCUCCAUUUUUUUUUUCCUCCCAGGUGUGUGUCUGGAAAUACGAAGUGCACUUGAAGGGUUAAUUACAGAUAACCAUGUCUUUCCGAACACAAAGGUGAGCUGUGGAUGCUGACAUAAUAUUGUAAAAGAAUCAAAUUCAUAGAAUAUAUUGCUUAGGAAGAAUUCAGGGAAGCAAACCAAACCUUGCAAGGUGCCAUGGAAUCUUUCAGCACAGAUACUGCAAAACUCUAUAAGGUCUGUGCCCGCCAGUGGUCAGGGAUGUCCCUCCUGGGACCAGGGGAAGGCUUGGGUGUGGAUAUGGGGGGGGCGGUGCACACGGGCAGCCAGUCUCUCAGGUCCCAGCAUCCUCUGAAGGCAGGGCAGCCUCGGCUUUCCCCACCUGCUGCAUCGCUCACGGCAGAAGAGACACUGUGAAUUCCUUCAACGUGUGUCCUUCUGCCCACGUCCCUUUCCAAGCCUCGUUUUGUUUCCUCCUCCAGCUUUUCUCUGGUGUUCCCACCCGGGAUGCCAGGCUCCGCCCACCAGGCUCGGGGUGGACCUGAAGCAGCAGGAGGGAACUCUGUUGUCCUGAAGAGCCUGGAGAUUCCCAGGCCGGCCCACGGCGUCCGCAAAGUACCCGCGACUCCAGUAUUUCUGGCCCUUCAGCCAUCGGACAGCAGUGGCCCUCCCUCCCAGCAGUGCAUUGGUGGAAUCCUGAACUCCUUGAUCUUCUUCUUCUUCUUUUUUUUGUCUUUUUAGGCAAAAAACCUGCUGCAUAUGGAGGUUCCCAGGCUAGGGGUCCAAUCAGAGCUACAGCUGCCGGCCUGCACCGCAGCCACAGCAACGUGGGAUCUGAGCCACGUCUGCGACCUACACUACAGCUCAUGGCAACACGGGAUCCUUAACCCACUGAGCGAGGCCAGGGAUCGAACCUGAGUCCUCAUGGAUACUAGUUGGAUUUGUUUCCGCCGAACCACGAUGGGAACUUCCUUCCCUUUGGAAGGAAGGUGUCACAUGCUGCUGGGUCCCCUCUAGCAAUGUAGCCUUUACCCCAGGCUGGUGUUCUGGAACUUUUCCCCUGUGCUUCAGCUACAAACAGGGUGAGGGACCAGAAGUGAGUGGCUGCCCCAGGUCCCUGCUCAUGGCCCCUAACGCCUCCUCUCCACUGCAUCUGGUCCUAGUGCUUUACUUUAGCCAGAAACAACCCAGUGGAGCCCACAGGUGACACUCCAUCCAUGACCAGGUGUGAGCCGCUGUCACGCCCAGGGCGUGGGGGGCAGGACUCUACAGUUUGGAUGUCAACUGCUUCCCACAUUUUGGUGUUUUUCCCUGAGCAGCCAUGCACAAACCUCAGUGCCAGCCCCUCCCCUGCUCAUCGCAUCUCUCUCUGUGUCUUUGCCUGCCCGCCCGCCUCUUCCUGGCCUCUGCUGCCCGCCUUCUCCCCGUUUCUUUCACGCCUCCUUCCCUGCCACCCCAAUUCUCCUCAUCUCCCCCUCUUCACUCUCCUCCACUCCCGCCUCCUCAUUAUUCUUUAAAACGAAGUAGCAGUUUGGUGUUCUUGGACUCACAGAGACGGCUUAGCUCCACCCGUCUGUGUUACAGUUUCAGAACCUUCCCUGUUAUUCCAAGCCUUUAGUGAACAGCAUGCACCUGAAUUUUCUAAGUUGGAGGGGAAGUUCGCUUUAGCAGUCAGGAAAAAGUCCAGCCCUGCAAUGUGACUGCCUCUGCCUGGAACCCUUCACUUUAAAUGGUGUUUGUAAUUUUUCACUAAUACUUUGGGUGUGGUAUUUAAUAACCCCGACUGCAGCAAUCCUGGCUGUUGCCGGCGGACAGGAGCCUGAAGCAAGGUGUGCAGGCCAGGAGCAGUGCUGCGGGAAGUUCGGGCUCCGUGUCGAAGAUGGAUUGCAGUGUAACGGGAAGCAGGAAGCUUCUUCAUAUUUAUUUACUUAGUGCCCUCCAGGCCAUUUCAUCUGUUCCUGGCAAAGCUGAUACGGUACCAGGUUUCAGAGCAGGAAACUUGAGCCUCAAGAAGGGUUGGCCGGACCCUUGCCAACGUUGCCCAUGUAGUAAGUGGCUGAGCAAGGACGGAAAAGUGGGGUCUGCUCCAGCCCUGCCAGCUGCUUGUGCCAUAGGCGGGACAAACCUAGCCCGCUGUGGGGGUGGGGGGAUGAAGCCAGUGCAGAAGAAAUGAUUACACGUCCGUCGCUGGCAAAGGCUAACAACGAAACCACCAGCAACCAGUAACGUACCACUCUUUCCUGACCAGGGCCAUCUCAAUCAAACUCCUCACUAAGACUGGGGGUGCUGGGUGCUGGAGAUGCAAGGAUGACACACUGGAUCCCAGAUUUCAAGGUGCCUGCUCCUGGGCCCAGGUGCAGGGCAGGUACAGGGGCUGCAGUGCCACACCUGGGCCAUGAUAGGACCUUUCAACAGGGAUGGGGGCUCAUGAGCUCCAUGUGCGGUGAGCCAGGGAUGUGGUGCUGAGGGUGGGAUGGGAUGGGGCGCCUACAGCUAGACCCUGUGACCCUGGGGAAGGUGCCCAAGGUCAGGUGCACAGAGGGAUGCUUUCACAAAC